UACAGAGGUCCCGAGCGUUGUUCGGAUUCAUUGGGCGUAAAGGGUGCGUAGGCGGCGGGGCAAGUCUGAUGUGAAAUCCCGGGGCUCAACCCCGGAACUGCAUUGGAUACUGCCUUGCUUGAGUACUGGAGAGGAGACUGGAAUUUACGGUGUAGCAGUGAAAUGCGUAGAUAUCGUAAGGAAGACCAGUGGCGAAGGCGGAUCUCUGGACAGCUACUGACACUGAGGCACGAAGGCCAGGGGAGCAAACGGG
rnacentral:rRNA from 1 species